AUGUGGUGGUGAGGACAAUAUUUCAACGACUUCUUGAAUCUUUCCCAAUAUUCAUAAAGGAUUUUUCCAUCUCUUUGCAUGAUGCUUGAGAUUUCUUUCCUCAAACG